CUGAUCACCCCAACAAUCCGAAGUAGGCGUUAUAGUCUAAAGGAGGCUACCAGCAGGGCAAUCCGCGGUGGGACAUCAUGAAGGGCGACAGGGCUGGAGACAUCGCUUGGAAUCGGCUGCAGAUCUGCAAUGUGACGUGAUUUGGAGAACAACAUUAGCAGGAAAGCAAUUCACUGGGACUACCAGGGACUUGCAUACCCAGUGAAGACCAACCUUAGUGAUGGGCGCCUCAAUCAUCAUCGAGUGUAUCCGGGCCAGAGAGGAAUGUCUUCUCUGGUUGGAAACUGUGGAAAGGGGCACGACGCUUCUGAGCCGAGAGAAGCCCGGACAAUGCACAGGCAGGCAAAGACUGUCCCAGAGUGCUGUGUCUCUGUGAACACCACACUGAGAGGAGUACCAACAGCCAGAGAGGAGGAGAGAAUGUCCAUCAAGACAAUGCCUCAGGCUCAACUUGCCUUCAGAGAAACUAAGCCUAAAGGAGACGUACUGUCUAAGGUUAACCAGGCCAGCAAGCCUCAAAUGCCAACAAAACUCAAAUCUAAUGUUAGUGGUCAGCAUAUGGCUGCUGACUUUACAUCUUACACAAUAAAGGCACUAAACAAAGUCCCCACUGUCUUAUCACGAUCAGAAAAGGAUUUGCUCUUAUUCAGGAAUCUAACAGAGCUGUUGACAGGACGCACUGCACUCUUGAGAAUGUCUAAGGUAGGUUUCUAAGGAUGCAAACUAAAAUAUUUGUUAAUUAGCUCAAUUUAGUCAUUUCACAAUGUAAGCACAUUCUAAAACAGCAUGUUGUCUAUGAUAGACACAAUUCUGAAAUUUUUAUUUUAAAAAUAAUGUGAAAAAACCAAAUAGCAUAAGUGCAAUGAGUUAAGAAAUGCAAAAUUUUCUGUGUGUUACAGAGAUGCCCUGAAGAAUCUGCAAAUACACUCACUAUUCUAUAGUCUUACAGUCAGUCAGUCACUGGGUAAGAGGUCAAUAUCCUAAACCCAAUGCAUGUCUCUGUACUAAUGCCCCGUGGUUAGAAGUGGAAGUGAAACCUGUUAAAAUACCAUCUAGAGUUCUGUGCAGGAGAAUGUGGGACAAUGAUCUUGUACCCUGUAAAGAUUUGUCAGCUCUAUUGCUUUAAUAAAGUGCUGAUUGGUCAGUGGCCAGGCAGGAAGUAGAGGUGGGGCAACAAGAACAAGAGAAUUCUGGGAAGAGGAAAGGCUGUGUCUGCUAUCAUCACCUAGUCACAGAGGAAGCAAGAUGAGAAUGUCUCGCUGGUAAAAGGUACCAAGCCAUGUGGCUAACAUAGACAAGAAUAAUGAACUAAUUUAUGAUAUAAGAAUUUUAAUUAAUAUGAAGCAUAAGCUAAUAGGCCAACUGGUUUAUAAUUAAUGUAGGCCUCUGUGUGUUUCUUUGGGAUUGAAUGGCUUCGGGACUGGUGGGUCAGAAACCCCAGCCAACACAGGAGGGGCCCACAGGCCUACCCUUAGUGAGGAGCUAUUGUCAGUUAGUGACUCCUGGGGGAAGGUGGCCUGUGCCUCAGUGAUUGGCCAAUAUAAACACAGGCAGCAGGGUAAUUAAAAGGACGUAAAGUUGGGAGAGAGACAUGGUGACUGCAUGAAAAAAACAAAAACCAAAAAACCAUGCUGGUUAGCAUGCAUCUCCGUGGUCUUAAUAUUUUAUUUCAGCUGAACACUUGGGAGGUGGGGACAGAAGGUUGUUUGAAGUCAGCCUGGGCUAUAUGAGACCCUGCUUUAAAAAUAAUCAUGGUGGUGCACUCCUUUAGUCCCAGCACUGAGGCACAGGCAGGAGGAUUAUAUUUCCAUCUGAACUUAAAUAAUAUUUUCUUAGUGAGAGUAUUACAAUCUCCAAAUUAAGCCUACCACUUCCCAAGGGUAAGUUUCCACAGUCAGUUCGUCAGAACUACCAAAUGUGUAUGACUCACGUCGCAACAGCAGACUGACAGGCGAGUCUAUUGGUAGAGUCGGGAAAACCACACAGAACACCUAGCACCUGUUUCUCUGUUCCUUGUUAUUGGCUCAUUUCAAAGCUCAGAAUGGAGCCGACCUGUGUGGAGGGUGGCGUGGGGCCUGCUCCUCUCUUGAACGCGGUGCGUGAUCACCAGGAAACCAAGCUGUUGUCUGCC